rnacentral:rRNA from 1 species
UACAGGGGGGGCAAGCGUUGUUCGGAAUUACUGGGCGUAAAGGGCCAGUAGGCGGCCAACUAAGUCACACGUGAAAUCCCUCGGCUUAACCGGGGAACUGCGUCUGAUACUGGGUGGCUUGAGGUUGGGAGAGGGAUGCGGAAUUCCAGGUGUAGCGGUGAAAUGCGUAGAUAUCUGGGGGAACACCGGUGGCGAAGGCGGCAUCCUGGACCGGCAUUGACGCUAAAGCGCGAAAGCCAGGGGAGCAAACGGG